rnacentral:rRNA from 1 species
CCUACGGGUGGCUGCAGUGGGGAAUAUUGGACAAUGGGCGAAAGCCUGAUCCAGCCAUGCCGCGUGUGUGAAGAAGGCCUUCGGGUUGUAAAGCACUUUCAGUGGGGAAGAAAGCCUUGGGGCUAAUACCCUCGAGGAAGGACAUCACCCACAGAAGAAGCACCGGCUAACUCCGUGCCAGCAGCCGCGGUAAUACGGAGGGUGCGAGCGUUAAUCGGAAUUACUGGGCGUAAAGCGCGCGUAGGCGGUCUGAUAAGCCGGUUGUGAAAGCCCCGGGCUCAACCUGGGAACGGCAUCCGGAACUGUCAGGCUAGAGUGCAGGAGAGGAAGGUAGAAUUCCCGGUGUAGCGGUGAAAUGCGUAGAGAUCGGGAGGAAUACCAGUGGCGAAGGCGGCCUUCUGGACUGACACUGACGCGGAGGUGCGAAAGCGUGGGUAGCAAACAGGAUUAGAUACCCCUGUAGUC